rnacentral:rRNA from 1 species
AUUGAACGCUGGCGGCAGGCCUAACACAUGCAAGUCGAGCGGAGCGGCAGGCGGGUGAGUCAUGCCUAGGAAUCUGCCUGGUCGUGGGGGAUACCGUCCGGAACCGGGCGCUAAUACCGCAUACUAUCAGAUGAGCCUAGGUCGGAUUAGCUAGUUGGUGGGGUAAGGGCCUACCAAGGCGACGAUCCGUAACUGGUCUGAGAGGAUGAUCAGUCACACGGGAACGGAGACACGGUCAAGACUCCUACGGGAGGCAGCAGUGGGGAAUAUUGGACAAUGGGCGAAAGCCUGAUCCAGCCAUGCCGCGUGUGUGAAGAAGGUCUUCGGAGUGUAAAGCACUUUAAGUUGGGAGGCGUUACCAACAGAAGAAGCACCGGCUAACUACGUGCCAGCCGCCGCGGUAAUUC